GUGGAAUAACGUUAUUGCCCAGCGGAGCUGAGGGCCCCGGAGCUCGACCGCAGCGGCAGCGACGACAACAGCGGCGACGACGACGACGACGAGGUGGGGGGAGGACGGCGUGCGAGAGACUCACGGGACGCGACGCGCCCCGCCUCCCCCGUCCGGUCCCUCUCUCCACGGUAAGGGAGUGUCUGGAUUCCGCAGGCUUCUCAAUAGCUGUUGAAAGAAGGGAGGAAUGGAGGAAGACAGUUUUGCUGCCUUCAAAGAGCUCAUCAACUUGAGGAUGACGUAGCUUUGCCAAAGACUUAGAAGCUAAGCAGAAAAUGAGCUUAACAUCCUGGUUUUUGGUGAGCAGUGGAGGCACUCGCCACAGGCUGCCACGAGAAAUGAUUUUUGUUGGAAGAGAUGACUGUGAGCUCAUGUUGCAGUCUCGUAGUGUGGAUAAGCAACACGCUGUCAUCAACUAUGAUGCGUCUACGGAUGAGCAUUUAGUGAAGGAUUUGGGCAGCCUCAAUGGGACUUUUGUGAAUGAUGUAAGGAUUCCGGAACAGACUUAUAUCACCUUGAAACUUGAAGAUAAGCUGAGAU
rnacentral:lncRNA from 10 species